AGGUGGUGCAUGGUUGUCGUCAGCUCGUGUCGUGAGAUGUGGUUAAGUCCGCAACGAGCGCAACCCCUACUUGUUAGUUGCCAUCAUUCAGUUGGGCACUCUAGCGAGACUGCCGGUAAUAAACCGGAGGAAGGUGGGGAUGACGUCAAAUCAUCAUGCCCCUUAUGACCUGGGCUACACACGUGCUACAAUGGUUGGUACAACGAGUUGCGAGUCGGUGACGGCGAGCUAAUCUCUUAAAGCCAAUCUCAGUUCGGAUUGUAGGCUGCAACUCGCCUACAUGAAGUCGGAAUCGCUAGUAAUCGCGGAUCAGCACGCCGCGGUGAAUACGUUCCCGGGCCUU
rnacentral:rRNA from 1 species